rnacentral:rRNA from 1 species
UGAGGAAUAUUGGUCAAUGGGCGGAAGCCUGAACCAGCCAAGUCGCGUGAGGGAAGACGGUCCUAUGGAUUGUAAACCUCUUUUGCAGGGGAGCAAGACAGCGGUACGUGUACCGUGCUGGAGAGUACCCUGAGAAAAGCAAUCGGCUAACGUCCAGUGCCAGCAGCCGCGGUAAUACGGAGGAUGCGAGCGUUAUCCGGAUUUAUUGGGUUUAAAGGGUGCGUAGGCGGACUGGUAAGUCAGCGGUAAAAAUGCGGUGCUCAACGCCGUAGUGCCGUUGAAACUGCCGGUCUUGAGUGAGCGAGAAGUAUGCGGAAUGCGUGGUGUAGCGGUGAAAUGCAUAGAUAUCACGCAGAACUCCGAUUGCGAAGGCAGCAUACCGGCGCUCAACUGACGCUGAGGCACGAAAGCGUGGGGAUCGAACAGGAUUAGAUACC